AGCGAGAGAAAAUAGGUAUACGGGAGAAGAGAGAGAAAAUAUGAAGCAUUCUUGGCUACACAAUUCAAAUCCAAAUUCUGUAUUAUAUUCCAUUAACCAUUAU